GCGCACCGGGGAUCCUAGGC
rnacentral:misc_RNA from 1 species